AAACUCAAAGGAAUUGACGGGGACCCGCACAAGCAGCGGAGCGUGUGGUUUAAUUCGUUGCUACACGAAGAACCUUACCUGGGUUUGACAUAUAGGUUGUAGGGAACUGAAAAGGGACCGACCUUCGGGAGCCUAUACAGGUGUUGCAUGGCUGUCGUCAGCUCGUGUCGUGAGAUGUUCGGUUAAGUCCGCUAACGAGCGCAACCCUCGUCGUAUGUUAUAUGUGUCGUACGAGACUGCCGGUAAAAGCCGGAGGAAGGUGAGGAUGAUGUCAAGUCAGCAUGACCUUUAUAUCCAGGGCUACACACACGCUACAAUGGUCUGUACAAUGGGUAGCCAAGCCGCGAGGCGGAGCCAAUCCUGAAAGCAGGCCUCAGUUCAGAUUGCAGUCUGCAACUCGACUGCAUGAAGCCGGAGUUGCUAGUAACCGCAGGUCAGCAAUACUGCGGUGAAUACGUUCCCGGGGCUU
rnacentral:rRNA from 1 species